rnacentral:rRNA from 1 species
AUGAACGCUGGCGGCGUGCUUAACACCUGCAAGUCGAACGGGAAACCUUUUAUUGAAGCUUCGGCAGAUUUAGCUGGUUUCUAGUGGCGGACGGGUGAGUAACGCGUGGGUAACCUGCCCUAUACAGGGGGAUAACAACCAGAAAUGGUUGCUAAUACCGCAUAAGCGCACAGGGCCGCAUGGUCCGGUGUGAAAAGCUCCGGUGGUAUAGGAUGGACCCGCGUUGGAUUAGCCAGUUGGCAGGGUAACGGCCUACCAAAGCGACGAUCCAUAGCCGGCCUGAGAGGGUGAACGGCCACAUUGGGACUGAGACACGGCCCAGACUCCUACGGGAGGCAGCAGUGGGGAAUAUUGCACAAUGGGGGAAACCCUGAUGCAGCGACGCCGCGUGAAGGAAGAAGUAUCUCGGUAUGUAAACUUCUAUCAGCAGGGAAGAUAGUGACGGUACCUGACUAAGAAGCCCCGGCUAACUACGUG